rnacentral:sRNA from 1 species
AUGUCCCACACAAACUUUGUAUUGUGACUAUGUUACUAAUUCAUGUAAUUUUGUAGGCUGUAUAAAUAACAUGAUAAAUGAUUAAUUUGGAACUUAAGAUUAAUAUAAUAAAUAGAGAGUUUUAAUGAAACACUUUCGGUACUAUUCGCUUUUAACUAAAAUAAUAUUUUACUUUAAAAAGUCACUUAUGGUACUAUUCACUUACAACACAUUUUUGUCAUUUUGAUUAAAACUUAAAGUUUUCAAGUCAUUUUCAUUAGUUUUCCUUAAUAAAUAAGUAUGCAUGUGUUAUAGUUGUAAGUUAUGAUAACUCUAGCUACUUGGUGAAGUUAGAUGCGGCUAAUCAAUCCAUUAGAUUGUUAACGGGUACCCUUUAAGAGCUGUUUAAUUUGAUAUCACUAUAAUAUAGAGAUGAAAUUGGUAGUGGUGACGAUAAUGUAAGAUGAAAUUAAACUAAAUGAGUCUUAAUAAGUAUCUAUUAAUAACCAAUAAGUUGAUUUGUGACCUCUAGGUGAAGCGGCGACAAAUAAAAAAUCUCUUCAUCAUGAACUUUGUGGUGUGGCACUAUCCCAUUGUGCUACUAAACCAUCUAUGUGAAUAACAUUGUGCUACUAAACCCUAGUGUGACGCUAUCCCAAUGUGCUACUAAACCAGAGUGUGACACUAUCCCAAUGUGCUACGAAACCCUAGUGUGACACUAUCCCAAUGUGCUACUA